rnacentral:rRNA from 1 species
UGAGGAAUAUUGCGCAAUGGACGAAAGUCUGACGCAGCAACGCCGCGUGUGGGAAGAAGGUGCUAUGCAUUGUAAACCACUGUAGCAUGGGAAGAAAAGCGCCUUAGGGGCGUGGGACGGUACCAUGAGAGUAAGCAUCGGCUAACUACGUGCCAGCAGCCGCGGGAAUACGUAGGAUGCGAGCGUUGUCCGGAUUUACUGGGUGUAAAGGGUGCGCAGGCGGGAUGGGAAGGCCGGGGGGGAAGGCUG